rnacentral:rRNA from 1 species
AUGCAGUUCGGACGAGAAAGUUCCCUUCGGGGAGCGAGUAAAGUGGCGCACGGGCUGANUAACACGUAGGAUAAUCUACCUUCGGGUGGGGAAUAACCAGGGAAACUUGGGCUAACACCGCAUAAUGCAGCGGCACCACAUGGUGACAGUUGUUAAAGCGGGGGAUUUUAGGACCUCGCGCCUGAAGAGGAGCCUGCGGCAGAUUAGCUAGUUGGUAAGGUAACGGCUUACCAAGGCGACGAUCUGUAGCCGGCCUGAGAGGGCGGUCGGCCACACUGACACUGACAUACGGGUCAGACUCCUACGGGAGGCAGCAGUCGGGAAUUUUGGGCAAUGGGCGAAAGCCUGACCCAGCAACGCCGCGUGAAGGAUGAAAUCCCUCGGGAUGUAAACUUCGCAAGAAUGGGAAGAAUAAGUAGGGGACAAUACCCCCUAUGAUGACGGUACCAUUUGUAAGCUCCGGCUAACUCCGUGCCAGCAGCCGCGGUAAUACGGGGGGAGCAAGCGUUGUUCGGAUUUACUGGGCGUAAAGGGCGCGUAGGCGGCCAGCACAAGUCAGUUGUGAAAUCUCCGGGCUUAACUCGGAAAGGUCAACUGAUACUGUGCGGCUAGAGUGCGGAAGGGGCAACUGGAAUUCUCGGUGUAGCGGUGAAAUGCGUAGAUAUCGAGAGGAACACCUGCGGCGAANGCGGGUUGCUGGGNCCGACACUGACGCUGAGGCGCGAAAGCCANGGGAGCGAACGGGAUUAGAUACCCCCGGUAGUCCUGGCCUUUAACGAUGGAUGCUUGGUGUCUGGGGUUUUUAUAGUCCCCG